rnacentral:rRNA from 1 species
AACGAACGCUGGCGGCAGGCUUAACACAUGCAAGUCGAACGCCACCUUCGGGUGGAGUGGCAGACGGGUGAGUAACGCGUGGAAACAUACCUUUUGCUUCGGAAUAUUCCCGGGAAACUGGGAGCAAUACCGAAUGUGCCCUGAGGGGGAAAGAUUUAUCGGCAAAAGAUUGGUCCGCGUUAGAUUAGGUAGUUGGUAGGGUAAGGGCCUACCAAGCCUACGAUCUAUAGCUGGUCUGAGAGGAUGAUCAGCACAUUGGGACUGAGACACGGCCCAAACUCCUACGGGAGGCAGCAGUGGGGAAUAUUGGACAAUGGGCGCAAGCCUGAUCCAGCCAUGCCGCGUGAAUGAAGAAGGCCUUAGGGUUGUAAAAUUCUUUCACCGGGGACGAUAAUGACGGUACCCGGAGAAGAAGCCCCGGCUAACUUCGUGCCAGCCGCCGCCGUAA